CCUGCCCACAGAGGUGUUGCACAUGUGGCUGCUGUGACACAUUUAUGUGUCAGUAGACGGCAGAGAGGAGAGACGUUAUAUCUACACCCAGUGUUCUGACCUAGGAACAUCUGAAUGAUUAGUAGCCUAACAUU